rnacentral:rRNA from 1 species
CUGCAGGAGAUACUGUUAGGCUAGGGGGCGGGAGAAGCCGACGGUAUUUUCGGGGUAGGGGUAAAAUCCUAUAAUCCCGGGAAGACCACCAGUGGCGUAGGCGGUCGGCUAGCACGCGCUCGACGGUGAGGGACGAAAGCUGGGGGAGCGAACCGGAUUAGAUACCCGGGUAGUCUCAGCUGUAAACGAUGCUGGCUAGGUGUUGAAGCGGCUACGAGCCGCUUCAGUGCCGCAGGGAAGCCAUUAAGCCAGCCGCCUGGGGAGUACGGCCGCAAGGCUGAAACUUAAAGGAAUUGGCGGGGGAGCACCACAAGGGGUGAAGCUUGCGGUUUAAUUGGAGUCAACGCCGGGAACCUUACCGGGCGCGACAGCAGGAUGAAAGCCAGAUUGAAGGUCUUGCUGGACGAGCUGAGAGGAGGUGCAUGGCCGUCGCCAGUUCGUGCCGUGAGGUGUCCUGUUAAGUCAGGCAACGAUCGAGACCCACACCCUCUGUUGCUACUGAGGAGUUUUCCAAGGGGCACUCUGAGGGGACUGCCGCCGAUA